UACGUAGGUGGCAAGCGUUGUCCGGAUUUAUUGGGCUUAAAGGGUGCGUAGGCGGCUUUGUAAGUCAGUGGUGAAAUAUGGCAGCUCAACUGUCAGGGUGCCAUUGAUACUGCGGAGCUUGAGUACAGAUGAGGUAGGCGGAAUUGACGGUGUAGCGGUGAAAUGCUUAGAUAUCGUCAAGAACACCUAUAGCGAAGGCAGCUUACUAGGCUGUAACUGACGCUGAGACACGAAAGCGUGGGGAGCGAACAGG
rnacentral:rRNA from 1 species